GGGGCGCGGGGGGUUACUGGGGAGCUGGGGCUGGGCUGGAUUUUCUGCGUGAGCGCGUGGGAGAGGGACACUCCCUUUCUUUCCCACCCCACUGGGUCACGGGAUGGGGUCUGCACGUUGCCGCAAGGGAGACCGGAGGGAGGAUGACGGGGCUGCGGUAAGAGUCUGCGAGGGUUGUUAGUACCGUAGGGGUGGGGGCUGGGCUUGUGCAGGGGUGUCAGCAUUUGCAGGUGGGCAUCAUAGCAGGGCAGGUGCUGCAGGGGUGAGGACGUGAAUGUUACGCAGGCCCUGGUGCGUGGAUGCCACAUCUUUCUCAACUCUGGAGUUCAAUGGUAACACAUGUAUCUCCACCACCUCUGUCAGGAAUGUAUCAUGCCAGGCAACUAGACCCUGAGAUCUGCGAUCUCUGGCUUGGGCUUGGUACAAAGAUGGGAUCAUGGAAUCUUUGCCCCAGAGAUGGUGAGUGGUUGGUAGCCAGUGUAUUACAAGUGAAUCCAACAAGCCCAUCCUGGAGGGAGCUAGGCUGGAAGAACUCAAGGACAGGGGCCUGUGGUAGGAGCAUUUUCACAAAGUCAUCAUCAGAGAUAUUCAGAUAGUUUAAUGGUCUCCUAAACCCCAGACUCCACCUUCUGCAGAGCUCUCCAUUCACUCCACAAGAAGAGGAGGAAAGAAGAUACAAUUGAGGGAAGCCCAAGACAGGAUGGGAGAGGUCUGACCGUGGAAGUGCAGAGGAGACAUUAGAGUUGUGAGCAUCUGAUGGGCUGAAAAAGGGGCCUCCCAUGGUCUUGCCUCUGCCCUUCCAUCCCUGGGUAUUGCCUUCCUAGUCAGCCACUCUCUCUGGCACAUAAGGUGCAAACAGUCACCCCCCUCCGACAUUGAUACAACAGGAUGGUUCUCCUUUGCUUCUUUUUGCCUCCUUAUUUAUAUAAUAGGCCUCUCAUAAUUCAUCUUUGAAGAGCUCCUCUUCAUGCAUUGGGAGUUUCUCUCUGUGCAUGCAACUGCUCUUUGUCCCAAGAUACUUAUUAGCAAGAGCCACUCCAGAUCCUCUGUCAUCUGGUAAUAAUGCCCUCCAGGUACCCAGGACCCCCUUUUAAGAGCUGGAACCCUUACACCAGGGUUCUCUUCCUUGGUCCAAUUUUACCUCUUCUUCCAUCUCAGCCCUCACCCUCCAUGAUGUCUACAUAAAAGCCUACUUUCGGGGUAUGGCAUGAAAAUCCAGCUUCCACAAGAUCUACUUAAUGGCCAAAUGAAAUAAUGCCUGUCUAAUCUGGAUUCUUAGAAGUCGAGAUGGAAAAUGAGUGCUAAUAAUUUGAGAGGGCAAGGAACCUCUGUAAUGGAGUGUGGAAAUGAUGCAGAGGAGAGAGGGAGACAAUAAAAGAUGCAUUAUCAAACCAGCUAUUACAGUGGGCAGUGGAUGCUUAAUCUCAGUGAGGACACCCUGGGAACCAGUGUAGAACAUGCACCCCAGAGUUAACCUCAACCAAGGAGUGAGGGAGCUGGGAUAUUUAUACACCAGUUCCCCAUCACUCAAGGCUGAACACUGGAGCAUCAAUUCUCUAGUAUGUCCAGACUGCCAAACAGGCAGAGAAAAUAGGUUUUGGCACCAGAGAAUACUAUCUGGAAGCUGGAAGUCAGCCAUGCGCCCCGAAGUGCAGAGGGUGAGGAUCUAUAUAUGGACACUAUCUGCUUCAGUACCCCAGGUCAACACUGGAAAACCGGUGAGCCGAGUUAUGCUUUGUUUCAGACAUGCUUUCGUUAGCUCCCUUAGUAUGUCAGGAAGUAAACUGGAAUUAACUGCCAACGUUGGUAGAAUGGGAGGUUUCAUGUAACAACCCCAUUUCCAGUUUCUGUUGAAAAAUAAGAUCUGGCAACACUGGGCCCAAAUCCCUGCCUGGCAAGAAUCAGCUGAGAGCAAUUACAGCUGCCCCUUUUAGAUGGGGCAUGAGCUCUCCGGACCCCAAACCCCACGAGAUCAUUGUUACUCAUAUCUAUUAGCUGGCCACCAAGACCUCUAAGUUGGAGACCCUCUGUUCUAAAAGUUUGUUGCCACUCUGAUCCCUCUGUGAGUAACAUAAACCUGGUACAUCUUGUAUGUUUCAUCUCUUCCUUCCAGAUCUGUGAAGUGUAUUGCUCCAUCUCUCCCAUCUCGACCUUUUUAAUCCCUCUUGGACUUUUGUCAAUGAAAGGAACCAGGAGACCGGAUCCAUUAAACCAUAUCCAGACAUCAGAGUUAUUAUAAACUCUUUCUCUCUGGGUCAGGGUAGUCAAUCUCAGACAUUUUAAAAUUUAAUUUUAAAAAUUUUAAAUACAAAAUGUUUUUCAUGAACUCAAGGCCAUUGGGGGGAAGUGAACUAUUUCCCUUUUUACUCCCUCAACCCCUUCCAAUGUGAAGCUCCAGUAUCUCCUCUCUCUCUCUCUCUCUCUCUCUCUCUCUCUCUCUCUCUCUCUCUCCACUCCAAACCUCGCCUCAUCUCCUUGUUCCUUAAUAUACUCAGUGUUCACAUUCAGGUUUUUCUAAUAAGUAGUUAAAUCCCCCCACCACGAACUCCAGCUCCCUGGCGUUUCACUGGGAGUCUCUCUCAGCCCUCCAGGGAAGCCGGCACUGUUAUUUAUUGUUUUUGUUUCAAAUCAUUAUUUAAUCAAGAACGGGGAAAAAAGGCAACCUCUCACUUACACUUCAAAAUUUAAUUUCAGCUGAAUUCUAAGAUCAAGAGGCAGCACGGCCUAAUAGGAUACAAAAAUACAAUCAAGAAGAGAAUUCCAAUUAAACUGAACAAGUCCAUUUACUGAGCUUCAAAUGGCCCCAUAGAGAGAGGCGGCUAUACAUUUUUUUUUCUUCCCUGCCAUAUGGGAGACUGGAAAUUCUCAUGUGAGUGUGGAGCUGUAUGGUAGAGCUUUUAGCUAGAGGGUUCUGGUUAUUCCUUAAAAAAAAAAAAGCUUUUGUUUCACAAAGACAUUAAGUUUAUUUUCCUUUCUGUUGUUCAUCUUCCUUAGUGCACUAAUUAGGAAGACAGCAAAAGAAUGGAUUCAUUGACCUGGUAGGAGUUCAUCUGGGAGGAGGAGGAGAUGGAGAAAGAGAAGGGAGAUGUGCCGGGCAUUGUGGGAAGACAACAAAGUCCUUUAGGGCUGGGGCUAUCCCAUGGGGCUGUGCACUGCAUUGAACCUUUGGUAGGCAGAGGUGGUCUGGCCUCCUUAUUAUUUUCCUUAAGCAGGAGCCAGAGGGAAUGACAGCUUCAGGCUCACCCUUUCUUUGAAGCCUCUCCUGAGGACCCCCUGCCCACCUGUUCUCAGAAAUCCCCACCGGGACCCAGUUAGAUACAUUAUCACCAGCCCAAAUUGAAACAAGAAAAAAUAAGUUCAAUGUAAUUAGUUUUUCAUCCUGCUAAAUACUUUCGAUUUGAAGACUCAUUUUUUUCUUCCAAGGUCGUGUCUUUCCUACUUCUUCUGAUGGUAAAAUCUCCCUUUAGUGAUAGAAAAUGGUGGUUUUUUCUGUUCUUCCUUGGCAAAAGUAAAAGUUGACAAUGCUAUGUCACUUCCCAUUAAACAAAACAAAACAAAACAAAACAAACAAAAACCAAUGGCCCAGAAAAUCCCCAAAUCUCAUUUCAUCCACCUUCUGUACUUUGGUUCCUCCCUUCUCUCAACUAUGAUGAUGGUAUUGAAUGUUGGAUAUUGUGUCUCCCAGUUGAGCAAGAGCUCAAAGGCUUUGCAGAAUGUGCAAGCACCUGGACUAGGGGUCAGAAGGCCUGAGCCAUCCAGAUUCUCCCUCAGCCCUAUUUUCCCUAUCUACAAAGGGGGAAGCAUAUUCCCAUCUCGCCUUUCUCCUGGGGUUGUUG
rnacentral:lncRNA from 1 species